rnacentral:rRNA from 1 species
UGCCAGCCGCCGCGGUAAUACGGAGGAUCCAAGCGUUAUCCGGAAUUAUUGGGUUUAAAGGGUCCGCAGGCGGUUUAUUAAGUCAGAGGUGAAAUCCUACCGCUCAACGGUAGAAUUGCCUUUGAUACUGAUAGACUUGAGUUAUUGUGAAGUAGUUAGAAUGUGUAGUGUAGCGGUGAAAUGCAUAGAUAUUAUGAAGAAUACCGGUGGCGAAGGCGGCCUCCUGGAUCUGUACUGACACUGAGGUGCGAAAGCGUGGGUAGCAAACAGGAUUAGAUA